CCGUAACUAUAACGGUCCUAAGGUAGCGAAAUUCCUUGUCGGGUAAGUUCCGACCUGCACGAAUGGCGUAAUGAUGGCCAGGCUGUCUCCACCCGAGACUCAGUGAAAUUGAACUCGCUGUGAAGAUGCAGUGUACCCGCGGCAAGACGGAAAGACCCCGUGAACCUUUACUAUAGCUUGACACUGAACAUUGAGCCUUGAUGUGUAGGAUAGGUGGGAGGCUUUGAAGUGUGGACGCCAGUCUGCAUGGAGCCGGCCUUGAAAUACCACCCUUUAAUGUUUGAUGUUCUAACGUGGGCCCCUUACCGGGGUUGCGGACAGUGUCUGGUGGGUAGUUUGACUGGGGCGGUCUCCUCCUAAAGAGUAACGGAGGAGCACGAAGGUUGGCUAAUCCUGGUCGGACAUCAGGAGGUUAGUGCAAUGGCAUAAGCCAGCUUGACUGCGAGCGUGACGGCGCGAGCAGGUGCGAAAGCAGGUCAUAGUGAUCCGGUGGUUCUGAAUGGAAGGGCCAUCGCUCAACGGAUAAAAGGUACUCCGGGGAUAACAGGCUGAUACCGCCCAAGAGUUCAUAUCGACGGCGGUGUUUGGCACCUCGAUGUCGGCUCAUCACAUCCUGGGGCUGAAGUAGGUCCCAAGGGUAUGGCUGUUCGCCAUUUAAAGUGGUACGCGAGCUGGGUUUAGAACGUCGUGAGACAGUUCGGUCCCUAUCUGCCGUGGGCGCUGGAGAACUGAGGGGGGCUGCUCCUAGUACGAGAGGACCGGAGUGGACGCAUCACUGGUGUUCGGGUUGUCAUGCCAAUGGCACUGCCCGGUAGCUAAAUGCGGAAGAGAUAAGUGCUGAAAGCAUCUAAGCACGAAACUUGCCCCGAGAUGAGUUCUCCCUGACCCUUUAAGGGUCCUGAAGGAACGUUGAAGACGACGACGUUGAUAGGCCGGGUGUGUAAGCGCAGCGAUGCGUUGAGCUAACCGGUACUAAUGAACCGUGAGGCUUAACCUU
rnacentral:rRNA from 1 species